rnacentral:lncRNA from 1 species
AGCACAUCCUCAAAUUGUCAACCGCUUAAACUGUAAGGUCACUUUCACUAUUAUCGGAAUUAUAAUUUGAUUCUUUUCCCAUCUUCCACAUAUUAGUAACACUGCACCAUUUUUUGCAGGAACUUGUUCGAAAGCUCAAAGGGAAAUACAACGUGAGUUUCUAUGAUUCUUUCAUGCUUUGUUUCCUGUGAUCCCUCAAUCUUUCCUUAUCAUAUAUCAUGUUUCAAUAUGAUCCAAACCUGACUAGUUCUAAAACUACAUCAUUUUCCCAGUGGUAUCACAUCUUGUUUAAGGAGCUUUCACUGCGAGAAAAGUAAGUUAAAGUCAACUUCUACUGGAUUGCCUAACCAAUAUCUUUAAGGUUGCCACUUUGUUUUAAUUGUAGUUGAAGUCAAUUAAGAACUUUACGGCAAUUACAAUAUGCAAAAUGAUAUAGGAUGAAAACAUGUAAAAGAGGGCAUAGAAAUCAUCAUGUCAUUGUAACGAAAAAGUGUGGAAUUAAAGAUAUGUGACAAGGCGAAUUUACACAAAAAGCAUGGUGUUAGUAAUCUCUUAGAUCCUCUUCACUCUCCUCUUUGAUCAUUAGAACUACACUACAUGCUGUGGAUGAUCGGUAAUAAGCUGUUACAGCUUAUAUUGAAAAUUAUUAUGAAAAUAAUUGAAGCCAAAUUCUUGUCUUCUGGUGAUUAUAAAAUGUACAUCGGCUGGAUUUACGAUUAGUUGUGCCAGAUGACAAUGCAAGAAGUGAGUAGGAUUACAUGGGAAUUUUCUGAGUGAUCUGACAUAUUAAUUUUCCAUCUAGAAAAUAACUCAUGUUCUUUGCCUCUGUAUUGGUUUGUCUCAUCAGAACUUUGACAUUAGUAGCUCGUUGGUUCAAGGGAUUUUACCGUAUGCUUAUAUAAUAGCGCAUGCACUGGUGUUAUAGUCAGUUUUUUAACAUUAUUGCGGCUUCUGGACUUCCAUACAUAAUAAUUUUGCACAAGAAAAAAAUAUAUUUCUUUUCUGUGGGUGCAUUCAGUUUCCUUGUAUUUUUCCCUCGUUUUUAGCCAUCGUUUAUCUUCUCAAACAGAGAGAACUCAUUUUACGGAUUGUUUUUCAGAGUAUUACUUUCUCCAUAUAAAUUGUGGUGGAAUAGAAGUAAAGGUUGGUGAUAAAGGUCCUCCAUUUGAGGCAGACGGCGAAACUGGUGGGCCAUCUAAUUUCGUGCAGAGUAAGACUAACUGGGCAUUUAGCAGUACCGGCCACUUCCUGGAUGAUGAACGCAGUAGAGAUUCGUACAUCUGGGAGAACAUCUCUAGUAUCUCUGGGAAGGAUCCUCAGUUGUAUAUGAAUGCACGACUUUCUCCUCUGUCACUGACCUAUUAUGGAUUCUGUCUGGAAAACGGAAACUAUACAGUAAACCUUCACUUUGCGGAGAUCAUGUUUACUGAUGACAGAACAUAUAGUAGUCUCGGAAGGCGCAUAUUUGAUGUUUAUGUUCAGGUAAUCACAUACCUGCAACCACUAUUCACAAGAGAAAAAUGUCAUUUGUGAAAGAUACUCUUAUAGAAGAUGGAAAUUUUUCUGUAUGAAUAUGUUAAAUUUUGUUGUUGUUAAUAGAUGGAGAUCAGUUUUGGCAUUUUUUUUUUUUUUUUUUUUCCCCUUUUAUGGUAAUUUACUUACUCUCAAUAGCAUAAGAAGAUCUAUAAUAUAUUAUGGGUUAAAUUAUUUCAGGGAAAGCUGGUGAAGAAGGAUUUCAAUAUUGAAGAUGAAGCAGGUGGAGUUAAUAAGGCAAUUGUUAGAAACUUCACUGCUUCUGUCACUGAUAAUACCUUGGAGAUCCGGUUCUACUGGGCUGGAAAAGGGACUAUUGGCAUCCCAAAUAGAGGAGUAUAUGGUCCACUCAUUUCGGCUAUCUCUGUUAAUCCUGGUAUGCUAUGAAUUCUCUUGAGAUUCUUGUAAACAGUAACUUUUUUCUCCAGUUUCAACAAUUGAAAAUUCAAAGCAUAACCUCAGUUUUCCCACUGUUACUUUUGUUCUAAACAGAAGAAAAAAAUCAAUGAAUUUAUAUGUUAGUUGAAGAUUUUCUUAGAAUAUUAUACUAGGGUCUUAGGAUAAUAAUUUAGCAGCCAAAAUGUUACCCUGACUGUUUCUCUUGUUUCUCUCUACUUUGUUCAGAUUUUCCAGUACCAUCAGAAAAUGGAAACAUGUCUACUGGCGCUAUAGUUGGGAUAGUUAUUGGUGUUCUGUUUACGAUUUUUCUAGUUCUGGGAAUUCUUUGGUGGAAGGGUUGCUUAGGAUCCAAAGAUACUACAGCACAAGGUAUUGCAUAAGCUUCUUAUUUUUCAUGUGUGUAGAUCUAUUAGGCAGUCAUAUAUGAGUGAUAUAUCCACG